CAAUAGCGUAUAUUAAAGUUGUUGCAGUUAAAAAGCUCGUAGUUGGAUUUCUGGUGGGAGCGAUCGGUCUGGCGCUUAGCGCGAGUACUUGCAUCGUCUCCGGCCAUCCUUGGGGAGAGUCUGUCUGGCAUUAGGUUGUCGGGCAGAGGAUCCUCAUCGUUUACUGUGAAAAAAUUAGAGUGUUCAAAGCAGGCUUAUGCCGUUGAAUAUAUUAGCAUGGAAUAAUAAGAUUGGACUUUGGUACUAUUUUGUUGGUUUGCGCACCAAAGUAAUGAUUAAUAGGGACAGUUGGGGGUAUUCGUAUUCCGUUGUCAGAGGUGAAAUUCUUGGAUUUACGGAAGACGAACUACUGCGAAAGCAUUUACCAAGGAUGUUUUCAUUAA
rnacentral:rRNA from 1 species